rnacentral:rRNA from 1 species
GACGAACGCUGGCGGCGUGCUUAACACAUGCAAGUCGAACGGAAAGGCCUGCUUUCCCUUGUGGAUUGCGGGUACUCGAGUGGCGAACGGGUGAGUAACACGUGAGUGAUCUGCCCCCAACUUGGGUAUAAGCCUGGGAAACUGGGUCUAAUUCCCGAUAGGACUGCAGGGUGGUGCCUGUGGUGGAAAACGAUUUUCUAGUGGGUGGGGAUGAGCUCGCGGCCUAUCAGCUUGUUGGUGGGGUAAUGGCCUACCAAGGCGGCGACGGGUAGCCGGCCGGAGAGGGUGGACGGCCACAUUGGGACUGAGAUACGGCCCAGACUCCUACGGGAGGCAGCAGUGGGGAAUAUUGCACAAUGGGCGGAAGCCUGAUGCAGCGACGCCGCGUGGGGGAUGACGGCCUUCGGGUUGUAAACUCCUUUCGACCGCGAGGAAGCCACCUGGUUGGAAGGGUGGUGACGGUAGUGGUAGAAGAAGCACCGGCUAACUACGUG